rnacentral:rRNA from 1 species
GGGUUGUGAGGUUAAGCGACUAAGCGUACACGGUGGAUGCCCUGGCAGUCAGAGGCGAUGAAGGGCGUGCUAAUCUGCGAUAAGCGCCGGUAAGGUGAUAUGAACCGUUAUAACCGGCGAUACCCGAAUGGGGAAACCCAGUGUGACUCGUCACACUAUCAUUAACUGAAUCCAUAGGUUAAUGAGGCGAACCGGGGGAACUGAAACAUCUAAGUACCCCGAGGAAAAGAAAUCAACCGAGAUUCCCCCAGUAGCGGCGAGCGAACGGGGAGGAGCCCAGAGCCUGAAUCAGCAUGUGUGUUAGUGGAAGCGUCUGGAAAGGCGCGCGAUACAGGGUGACAGCCCCGUACACAAAAGCGCACGUGCUGUGAGCUCGAUGAGUAGGGCGGGACACGUGGUAUCCUGUCUGAAUAUGGGGGGACCAUCCUCCAAGGCUAAAUACUCCUGACUGACCGAUAGUGAACCAGUACCGUGAGGGAAAGGCGAAAAGAACCCCGGCGAGGGGAGUGAAAAAGAACCUGAAACCGUGUACGUACAAGCAGUGGGAGCACAGGUUUACCUGUGUGACUGCGUACCUUUUGUAUAAUGGGUCAGCGACUUAUAUUCUGUAGCAAGGUUAACCGUAUAGGGGAGCCGGAGGGAAACCGAGUCUUAACCGGGCGUUAAGUUGCAGGGUAUAGACCCGAAACCCGGUGAUCUAGCCAUGGGCAGGUUGAAGGUUGGGUAACACUAACUGGAGGACCGAACCGACUAAUGUUGAAAAAUUAGCGGAUGACCUGUGGCUGGGGGUGAAAGGCCAAUCAAACCGGGAGAUAGCUGGUUCUCCCCGAAAGCUAUUUAGGUAGCGCCUCGUGAAUUCAUCUCCGGGGGUAGAGCACUGUUUCGGCUAGGGGGCCAUCCCGGCUUACCAACCCGAUGCAAACUGCGAAUACCGGAGAAUGUUAUCACGGGAGACACACGGCGGGUGCUAACGUCCGUCGUGAAGAGGGAAACAACCCAGACCGCCAGCUAAGGUCCCAAAGUCAUGGUUAAGUGGGAAACGAUGUGGGAAGGCCCAGACAGCCAGGAUGUUGGCUUAGAAGCAGCCAUCAUUUAAAGAAAGCGUAAUAGCUCACUGGUCGAGUCGGCCUGCGCGGAAGAUGUAACGGGGCUAAACCAUGCACCGAAGCUGCGGCAGCGACACUGUGUGUUGUUGGGUAGGGGAGCGUUCUGUAAGCCUGCGAAGGUGGCCUGUGAGGGUUGCUGGAGGUAUCAGAAGUGCGAAUGCUGACAUAAGUAACGAUAAAGCGGGUGAAAAGCCCGCUCGCCGGAAGACCAAGGGUUCCUGUCCAACGUUAAUCGGGGCAGGGUGAGUCGACCCCUAAGGCGAGGCCGAAAGGCGUAGUCGAUGGGAAACGGGUUAAUAUUCCCGUACUUGGUGUUACUGCGAAGGGGGGACGGAGAAGGCUAUGUUGGCCGGGCGACGGUUGUCCCGGUUUAAGCGUGUAGGCUGGUUUUCCAGGCAAAUCCGGAAAAUCAAGGCUGAGGCGUGACGACGAGGCACUACGGUGCUGAAGCAACAAAUGCCCUGCUUCCAGGAAAAGCCUCUAAGCAUCAGGUAACAUCAAAUCGUACCCCAAACCGACACAGGUGGUCAGGUAGAGAAUACCAAGGCGCUUGAGAGAACUCGGGUGAAGGAACUAGGCAAAAUGGUGCCGUAACUUCGGGAGAAGGCACGCUGACACGUAGGUGAAGUGAUUUACUCAUGGAGCUGAAGUCAGUCGAAGAUACCAGCUGGCUGCAACUGUUUAUUAAAAACACAGCACUGUGCAAACACGAAAGUGGACGUAUACGGUGUGACGCCUGCCCGGUGCCGGAAGGUUAAUUGAUGGGGUCAGCGCAAGCGAAGCUCCUGAUCGAAGCCCCGGUAAACGGCGGCCGUAACUAUAACGGUCCUAAGGUAGCGAAAUUCCUUGUCGGGUAAGUUCCGACCUGCACGAAUGGCGUAAUGAUGGCCAGGCUGUCUCCACCCGAGACUCAGUGAAAUUGAACUCGCUGUGAAGAUGCAGUGUACCCGCGGCAAGACGGAAAGACCCCGUGAACCUUUACUAUAGCUUGACACUGAACAUUGAGCCUUGAUGUGUAGGAUAGGUGGGAGGCUUUGAAGUGUGGACGCCAGUCUGCAUGGAGCCAACCUUGAAAUACCACCCUUUAAUGUUUGAUGUUCUAACGUGGACCCGUUACCCGGGUUGCGGACAGUGUCUGGUGGGUAGUUUGACUGGGGCGGUCUCCUCCUAAAGAGUAACGGAGGAGCACGAAGGUUGGCUAAUCCUGGUCGGACAUCAGGAGGUUAGUGCAAUGGCAUAAGCCAGCUUGACUGCGAGCGUGACGGCGCGAGCAGGUGCGAAAGCAGGUCAUAGUGAUCCGGUGGUUCUGAAUGGAAGGGCCAUCGCUCAACGGAUAAAAGGUACUCCGGGGAUAACAGGCUGAUACCGCCCAAGAGUUCAUAUCGACGGCGGUGUUUGGCACCUCGAUGUCGGCUCAUCACAUCCUGGGGCUGAAGUAGGUCCCAAGGGUAUGGCUGUUCGCCAUUUAAAGUGGUACGCGAGCUGGGUUUAGAACGUCGUGAGACAGUUCGGUCCCUAUCUGCCGUGGGCGCUGGAGAACUGAGGGGGGCUGCUCCUAGUACGAGAGGACCGGAGUGGACGCAUCACUGGUGUUCGGGUUGUCAUGCCAAUGGCACUGCCCGGUAGCUAAAUGCGGAAGAGAUAAGUGCUGAAAGCAUCUAAGCACGAAACUUGCCCCGAGAUGAGUUCUCCCUGAGACUUAAAGUCUCCUGAAGGAACGUUGAAGACGACGACGUUGAUAGGCCGGGUGUGUAAGCGCAGCGAUGCGUUGAGCUAACCGGUACUAAUGAACCGUGAGGCUUAACCUUACAACGCCGAAGGUGUUU